rnacentral:lncRNA from 1 species
CAGAGUUCUAGCCAGGAAAGUGAAUACCAGUCUGCAACUUCAACCUCAAUGGGUGACUAUCUGUGAAGCUCCUCUGCUGGGGGAGAGUGGGCAGCCUCUCCCUUGCCCACUGGGAGAAAAGGGAGUGACCCCGGCAAGACCAAUUCCUCCUCUCCCCUGUCCUCCUCCUCGCCUACUCCACAUGAAGACAACGAGGAUGAAGACCUUCAUGAUGAUCCAUUUCCACUUAAUGAACAGUUUGGAAAAUACUCAUCUUUGAUUAAAAAGUUGGAAAGAACUGACCGGGCGCGGUGGCUCACGCCUGUAAUCUCAGCACUUUGGGAGGCGGAGGCGGGCGGAUCACAAGGUCAAGAGAUCGAGACCACGGUGAAACCCCGUCUCUACUAAAAAUACAAAAAAAAAAAAAUCAGCCGAGCUCGGUGGCUGGCACCUAUAGUCCCAGCUACUUGGGAGGCUGAGGCAGGAGAAUGGCGUGAACCCACGAGGCGGAGCUUGCAGUGAGCUAAUACCGCGUCACUGCACUCCAGCCUAGGUGACAGAGGAAGACUCCGUCUC